AGUGAACGCUGGCGGUAGGCCUAACACAUGCAAGUCGAACGGCAGCACAGUAAGAGCUUGCUCUUACGGGUGGCGAGUGGCGGACGGGUGAGGAAUACAUCGGAAUCUACUUUUUCGUGGGGGAUAACGUAGGGAAACUUACGCUAAUACCGCAUACGACCUACGGGUGAAAGCAGGGGAUCUUCGGACCUUGCGCGAUUGAAUGAGCCGAUGUCGGAUUAGCUAGUUGGCGGGGUAAAGGCCCACCAAGGCGACGAUCCGUAGCUGGUCUGAGAGGAUGAUCGGCCACACUGGACCUGAGACCCGGUCCAGACUCCUACGGGAGGCAGCAGUGGGGAAUAUUGGACAAUGGGCGCAAGCCUGUUCCAGCCAUACCGCGUGGGUGAAGAAGGCCUUCGGGUUGUAAAGCCCUUUUGUUGGGAAAGAAAAGCAGCAGGUUAAUACCCCGCUGUUCUGACGGUACCCAAAGAAUAAGCACCGGCUAACUUCGU
rnacentral:rRNA from 1 species